rnacentral:rRNA from 1 species
UUGGAGGGCAAGUCUGGUGCCAGCAGCCGCGGUAAUUCCAGCUCCAAUAGCGUAUAUUAAAGUUGUUGCAGUUAAAAAGCUCGUAGUUGAAUUUCGGGAUCAAUUUAUUGGUCGUGCUAUUGUACGUACUGGUAUUAUUGAUUCCUACCUUCUGACGAACCAUGAUGUCAUUAAUUUGGUGUCAUGGGGAAUCAGGACUGUUACUUUGAAAAAAUUAGAGUGUUUAAAGCAGGCUCACGCUUGAAUACAUUAGCAUGGAAUAACGAAAUAGGACGUUUGAUUCUAUUUUGUUGGUUUCUAGGAUCGACGUAAUGAUUAAUAGGGGUAGUUGGGGGCAUUAGUAUUCAAUUGUCAGAGGUGAAAUUCUUGGAUUUAUUGAAGACUAACUACUGCGAAAGCAUUUGCCAAGGAUGUUUUCAUUAAUCAAGAACGAAAGUUAGGGGAUCGAAGACGAUCAGAUACCGUCGUAGCCUUAACCAUAAACUAUGCCGACUAGGGAUCGGAUGAUGUUAAUUUUUUAAUGACUCAUUCGGCGCCUUACGGGAAACCAAAGUGUUUGGGUUC